GUCAAAACACUUAUUUUCCUAAAACUUUAUUUUUCAAAAUCAUUUUCCGUUAAAUUUCUAGUUUUUUAUUUAACCAAGUGUAAUUUUGCUCUUAUUUCGUUUAACACCAUUGCCACUUUUUAAUAACCCUCAAAAAGAGAGGUAACUGUCUCAGGGCAUGCCACUUGAGGCCAUGUGCUUGCACAGUAAACAACCACCACGAGAAUGUCCAAAGUAGUGGUUCCUGGCUGGGUUUGAAGGUGAAUCGAGGACAAGGAUACAUGUGUUCCAGCUCCAGGAAUAGACUAAAAGCACUUUAAGUCCCAAUGGUCCCUACCUUCCCGGCUGCUCCGUCAGGUACGCGGCCGUGUUUUCUGGAACAGGGGUUGCGUCUGAAGCGUCCGUACGGUGGUGAAAGGAGCUAG